rnacentral:rRNA from 1 species
UACGGAGGGAGCUAGCGUUGUUCGGAAUUACUGGGCGUAAAGCGCGCGUAGGCGGCUUUGUAAGUUAGAGGUGAAAGCCCGGAGCUCAACUCCGGAACUGCCUUUAAAACUGCAUCGCUUGAAUCCAGGAGAGGUGAGUGGAAUUCCGAGUGUAGAGGUGAAAUUCGUAGAUAUUCGGAAGAACACCAGUGGCGAAGGCGGCUCACUGGACUGGUAUUGACGCUGAGGUGCGAAAGCGUGGGGAGCGAACAGG